rnacentral:lncRNA from 1 species
UGGGCAACAGAGCAAGACUCCGUCUCAAAUAAAUAAAUAAAUAAAUAAACUAAUAACUAAAUGUUGUAACACAAAAGAGGAUAAAUGCUUAAGGUGAUGGAUAUCCUGUUUACCCUGAUGUGAUUAUUACAAAUUGCAUGUCUGUACCAAAAUAUCUCAUGUACCCGAUAAAUAUAUAUACCUACUAUAUACCGACAAAGUUAAAAAUAGAAACUGGAAGACAAAAAAUAAAUAAAAAUCAAAUAAAGCUUCUCAUUUUGUUGUCUGCCUUUGGUAGAUUU